rnacentral:rRNA from 1 species
AUUGAACGCUGGCGGCAUGCCUUACACAUGCAAGUCGAACGGCAGCACGGGUGCUUGCACCUGGUGGCGGGUGGCGAACGGGUGAGUAAUACAUCGGAACAUGUCCUGUAGUGGGGGAUAGCCCGGCGAAAGCCGGAUUAAUACCGCAUACGAUCUACGGAUGAAAGCGGGGGACCUUCGGGCCUCGCGCUAUAGGGUUGGCCGAUGGCUGAUUAGCUAGUUGGUGGGGUAAAGGCCUACCAAGGCGACGAUCAGUAGCUGGUCUGAGAGGACGACCAGCCACACUGGGACUGAGACACGGCCCAGACUCCUACGGGAGGCAGCAGUGGGGAAUUUUGGACAAUGGGCGAAAGCCUGAUCCAGCAAUGCCGCGUGUGUGAAGAAGGCCUUCGGGUUGUAAAGCACUUUUGUCCGGAAAGAAAUCCUUGGCUCUAAUACAGUCGGGGGAUGACGGUACCGGAAGAAUAAGCACCGGCUAACUACGUG